AAGCUGAACUGUGGCUGGGAUGUUCCAUAUGGUUGGAGAAACGCCCACUGCAACCAAGUGUGAUAAUUUAAGACCCAGUGCGUUUCUAAGAGUCCUGCAGGCCUCAUAUAUACAGUACACUAUUCUAACGCUGCCAGAUUUGUGGUGCGUAAAGCUAAACAGUAACGCCUUCUCCCGCUAGAUCUGAGUUGGAAUGCCAGCUACACCUCCGAUAUGAGUAUUUGACCAUACUAGUGGACCCGAUUUUACAUCAUCUUCCACUGCCGAAGACCAGUUCCAAUACUUAAGAAACGAAGUACAGCGGAUGACCACAUCACAAAGGGAUGCCAUGAGGAACCCAGAGCUGAUUAUGGUGGAUCACUGCAUCGUCCCUGCAGAUAACCCCAAUGGAGGGGCCAGUAAGGCGGAGACCAUGACGCACUGCAUGAUGGAUGAAAUUCAAAUAACCAAACUGGAAUCCAUCAGCUCUUCAUAACUGACCCCCAGAGCAGUGCACAGAACAGAGGGACUCAUGGUACCUCAUGGUAUGCUAUUCAGUUCACCCACCACCUCCCCUCUCCCACCUUCGGCUCCCCGUCCUGGUCUGGGGUUUGGCUCCUUCACCUCCUGCCUGGUCGCCCAGCCAGAUCUGUCUACUUCAGAGUCGAAGGAGC